UGGGGAGUCUUGCACAAUGGGGGAAACCCUGAUGCAGCGACGCCGCGUGAACGAUGAAGCCCUUCGGGGUGUAAAGUUCUUUCGACAGGAACGAUAAUGACGGUACCUGGAGAAGAAGCUGCGGCUAACUACGUGCCAGCAGCCGCGGUAAUACGUAGGCAGCGAGCGUUGUUCGGAGUUACUGGGCGUAAAGAGUGCGUAGGCGGCGAGCCAAGUUUGGUGUGAAAUCUCCCGGCUUAACCGGGAGGGUGCGCCGAAAACUGGUUGGCUGGAGUAUGGGAGAGGAAAGCGGAAUUCCUGGUGUAGCGGUGAAAUGCGUAGAUAUCAGGAGGAACACCUGCGGUGUAGACAGCUUUCUGGACCAAAACUGACGCUGAGGCACGAAAGCGUGGGUAGCAAACA
rnacentral:rRNA from 1 species